UUUCAGCUCGUUUUCACCCACAAGUUCACACCUGCCAACAGUAAAUUAAGCAGAAUGGACCUAUUUGGUGAGCAGGGGACAGAACAUCUGACAAACCGUGCACAUUUAUGUAGAAGAAACAAAACGACAUCAGUCCCUGGGUGUCGUGUUUAAAAUAAGCAUUUAAUUGAAAUUACAACUUUUGACAAUUCUGUAGCUGCUUGUGGGUCUGCUUAUAUAACGGAAGUAAAUCCAAAAGAUAAUACACUAUACAUCUAAAAACAGCUUGAUGAAAACGAAUGCAAAUCUAAUGCAUUCUUGUUUGAAAUGUGUCAAUCCUCUUUCACUUGCUCGUAAUUAAACAAAUACAAAUUUACAAUUUAGUGCAAGGUAAACAAAAGUUUAAAAAAACAUUCAACCAUUUUAAGUGCCCUAAAUUAGUAAUGUUAAUUCAUACAUGUCAACGAAUCUACACGUCAAAUCUCAUGAAUAAAUAAACAUUUACAUGUCUAACUACUGGAGGACUUACUCGGGCGACGGUCGGGCGAUGAUGAAAGAGCUUUUAUUCUAUUUGGAGGUGUUGAAGCAGGAUGUCUUAUUGUAAAAAGGCCAGAAUUCGGUUUCCGGAUAGCAUGAUCCUUUUGGCGACUCUUUGACCAAUGUUCAAUCUCCGCAAAAAUGUAUGCUUUGCUAUGACGAUGGACGUCUGCCCGGGUUUGGGCAAUACCAGCGUCCUUUUACCGACUCUGGUUAAGACAAUUUAGAUUCUCAGAAUUAAAUUAGCAUUUGGCUUGAAAGCUAAAGACCUAACACUUACUUUACCACCAUUAAGUAACCUGAAAAGAUAACACAAUCAUUCUUAUCUAGUUUUACUGGAUGGUUGGCUAAAAACUGUCCGGGUCAGGAGGCCGUGACGUUUAAGCGAUGAGGUUCUUUAUCCACAAUAACGUUACACUUAAGUGUGUUGUUAGGCCCCACGCUUGUAAUACGGUUACCAGCGACGUUGUUGAUAGUAAGUAAUUAGCUGCCUUGUAGCCACCAAACGUUGUUUCACAUUUCAGUAGCCUGAGAAAAUAGUCCCUGUACGUGUGACUGUAACAAAAUGCAACGGAAAAACAGCAACAUCACGUUUGACUCGCUCUCAACCAAUCAGAACGCUGGAUUUCAUCGACAAGUA
ensembl:lncRNA